rnacentral:tRNA from 1 species
GCCCAUAUAGCUCAGGUGGUAGAGCGUCACCUUGGUAAGGUGGAGGUCAGCGGUUCGAAUCCGCUUAUGGGCUCCA